UACGUAGGUCGCAAGCGUUGUCCGGAUUUACUGGGCGUAAAGAGCGCGCAGGCGGCUGGUCAAGUCCGAUGUGAAAGCCCCCGGCUUAACUGGGGAGGGUCAUUCGAUACUGUUCGACUUGAAGGCAGGAGAGGGCAGCAGAAUUCCCGGUGUAGUGGUGAAAUGCGUAGAUAUCGGGAGGAAUACCAGUGGCGAAGGCGGCUGCCUGGCCUGUUCUUGACGCUGAGGCGCGAAAGCUGGGGGAGCAAACGGGG
rnacentral:rRNA from 1 species